CCUAGUACGAGAGGACCGGAGUGGACGCAUCACUGGUGUUCGGGUUGUCAUGCCAAUGGCACUGCCCGGUAGCUAAAUGCGGAAGAGAUAAGUGCUGAAAGCAUCUAAGCACGAAACUUGCCCCGAGAUGAGUUCUCCCUGACCCUUUAAGGGUCCUGAAGGAACGUUGAAGACGACGACGUUGAUAGGCCGGGUGUGUAAGCGCAGCGAUGCGUUGAGCUAACCGGUACUAAUGAACCGUGAGGCUUAACCUUACAACGCCGAAG
rnacentral:rRNA from 1 species